CCUGAGAGACGGCUACCACAUCCAAGGAAGGCAGCAGGCACGCAAAUUACCCACUCCCGGCACGGGGAGGUAGUGACAAAAAAUAACGAUACGGGACUCAUCCGAGGCCCCGUAAUCGGAAUGAGAACACUCUAAAUCCUUUAGCGAUGAUCCAUUGGAGGGAAAGUCUGGUGCCAGCAGCCGCGGUAACUCCAGCUCCAAUAGCGUAUAUUAAAGUUGUUGCGGUUAAAAAGCUCGUAGUUGGUUCUGCGUGCCGCGCUGUCGGUUCACCGCCUGCCGGUGCAACUGGCAUGCCGCGGCAUGUCCUGUCGGUGGCGGAUAGGCUUCGGGUCGCCUCCUCAUGCGGUUCCGCCGUGUGGGGCUGCGCGGCUCUGUUGUCCCUAUCUGCCGGCUCAAUCCUACCGCGGUGCUCUUUACCGAGUGUCGAGGUAGGCCGACACUGUUUACUUUGAACAAAUUAGAGUGCUUCAUGCAGGCUCAAUAUACAGCCUGAAUAGUGGUGCAUGGAAUAAUGGAAAAGGACCUUGGUUCUAUUUUGUUGGUUUCCUGAAUCCAAGGUAAUGAUCAAUAAGGACAGGCGGGGGCAUUCGUAUUGCGGCGUUAGACUUGGCAAAUGCUUUCGC
rnacentral:rRNA from 1 species